CAAAGAUUAAGCCAUGCAUGUCUAAGUACAGGCCUACCCAAGGCGAAACCGCAAAUGGCUCAUUAAAUCAGUCAUGAUUCAUUGGAUGUUGAUGAAUUUUUUACUCGGAUAACCGUGGCAAUUCUAGAGCUAAUACGUGCAACCGAGCUCCGACCCCGCCAUACCAGGCGGGGGAAGGGCGCAUUUAUUAGAAUCAUAAACCGAGCGGACUCCGGUCCGUCUCAUACGAGGUUGUGAUGACUCUGAAUAACUAUGCCGAGCGUUGAGGCCUUAGUGCCGGCGCCGUAUCUUUCGAGUGUCUGCCUUAUCAGCUUUCGAUUGUAGGAUAUACGCCUACAAUGGCUGUAACGGGUAACGGGGAAUCAGGGUUCGAUUCCGGAGAGGGAGCCUGAGAAACGGCUACCACAUCUAAGGAAGGCAGCAGGCACGCAAAUUACCCACUCCCGGCUCGGGGAGGUAGUGACGAUAAAUAACGAUGCGGGACUCUUCCGAGGCCUCGCAAUCGGAAUGAGUUCACUCUAAAUACUUGGACGAGGAUCCAUUGGAGGGCAAGUCUGGUGCCAGCAGCCGCGGUAAUUCCAGCUCCAAUAGCGUAUAUUAAAGUUGCUGCGGUUAAAAAGCUCGUAGUUGGACUUUAAGAUACGUGCCGGCGGCCCAUCCAAGGCGCGCCCUCGCCGACUCGCUGGGGGGUUGGGACGUUCGUACGUUAACGAGGUUUUACCUCCGUUGCUGCGGCGCUCCUCUUUCCCACCCCUUCGAGGCAUUUCCCCUAAACCGCGUAUGGUUUUCCUUUCCCAUUCAAUUUAACCUCGCGAAAUCGGCCUCUCGUACCCUCGUCGAUCGACCUCCGUACUUAACGUGUUCGGGUUUCGGUCAGCGUUCCCUCCGCAAAUACGCCUUUUCUCUCUCUUCCCCGAUCAAAACGUCGACCGCGGGUCACCGACGAUUAACCUCGUCGCCCCCUUUCGGCUACGGGGCUAGAAGAAAAAGGCCUCUGUUUCGGGCUAACAGGGCUCGCUGUCCCCGUUCUACUUAUUUACGCGUCCCGACGUUUUUGGGGCGGGAAUUAGCGCCCUUCGUCUUGGGGAAAGGGGUUCAUAAAGGUUAAUUCAUUCGCGGCGGGGAUCGUGUCCGAGAAGGGGGUCCCGCGGGCUGCGGGUAAGCGCGCCCGGUGGUUCACUGGCCGGUCACGAAUUUUUAAAAGCCGUCGGCUCUCACGGGGUGCUCUUUACCGAGUGUCCCGCGUGGCCGACACGUUCACUUUGAAAAAAUUAGAGUGCUCAAAGCAGGCAAAUUUUAUAGCCUGAAUGUCGAUGCAUGGAAUGAUGGAACAGGACCUCGGUUCUGCAUUUUUCUCUCGGUUUUCCGAACCCGAGGUAAUGAUUAACGGGAACGGACGGGGGCAUUAGUAUUGCGACGCUAGAGGUGAAAUUCUUGGACCGUCGCAAGACUAACUACUGCGAAAGCAUUUGCCAAGAACGCUUUCAUUAAUCAAGAACGAAAGUUAGAGGAUCGAAGGCGAUCAGAUACCGCCCUAGUUCUAACCUUAAACGAUGCCAACUGGCGAUCCGCUUAAAGUCAUUCCCACGACUGAGCGGGGAGCCCCCGGGAAACCGAAGUCUUUGGGUUCCGGGGGAAGUAUGGUUGCAAAGCUGAAACUUAAAGGAAUUGACGGAGGGGCACCACCAGGAGUGGAGCCUGCGGCUUAAUUUGACUCAACACGGGGAACCUCACCAGGCCCAGACACCGGAAGGAUUGACAGAUUGAGAGCUCUUUCUCGAUUCGGUGGGUGGUGGUGCAUGGCCGUUCUUAGUUGGUGGAGCGAUCUGUCUGGUUGAUUCCGAUAACGAACGAGACUCUACCCUAUUAACUAGUCGGUGGAUCGUAUCCCGAGACGGGUUCCCUACCGGGGGGUUCGGCACGGUUCUUCGGGCCUCCGGCCGCGGCGUCCUUCCUCUUAUAGCGGCGGGUGCGUCGUCUGCUGUCGUCGCGUCUCUCUUCUCGCUAGGGCCUUUGGGUCUUGGUCGGGGAGGGUUGCUCGCGCGGCAGUAUGGCGUUCCCCCGUGCGCGUAGGGGGGCUAAAAGGGGGCGUCGUGCGUCGUACGAGGUCUCGCGUCCGCGCUCGCUACACCCCUCGCGUAGGGCCCAGCGAGGGGCGUCCUCCGCAACAUCUUCUUAGAGGGAUCGGCGGCGUCCAGCCGCACGAGAGAGAGCAAUAACAGGUCUGUGAUGCCCUUAGAUGUUCUGGGCCGCACGCGCGCUACAAUGAAGGGAUCAGCGUGCUUUCCCCCUCCGAAAGGAGCGGGUAACCCGAUGAAACCCCUUCCCGCUUGGGAUUGGGGAUUGUAAGUGUUUCCCAUGAACGAGGAAUUCCCAGUAAGCGCAAGUCAUCAGCUUGCGAUGAUUAAGUCCCUGCCCCUUGUACACACCGCCCGUCGCUACUACCGAUUGAAUGAUUCAGUGAGGGCGUCGGACUAGCGCCCUCGGUAGCCCUCGGUUUUCGCGUUUUACCGCCGUCGCCCUUAGGGGCGUAUGCGGGCGCGGCCGACUAGGCACCCCGGGCCGCCGGAAAGACGUCCGAACUUGAUCAUUUUAGAGGAAGUAAAAGUCGUAACAAGGUUUCCGUA
rnacentral:rRNA from 1 species